rnacentral:rRNA from 1 species
GACGAACGCUGGCGGCGUGCCUAAUACAUGCAAGUAGGACGCAGUUGCGAACGGGUGAGUAACGCGUAGGUAACUGCCUAUUAGAGGGGGAUAACACUUGGAAACGAUAGCUAAUACCGCAUCCUCGUAGAUGGACCUUCAUUGUAUUAGCUAGUAGGUAGGGUAAUGGCCUACCUAGGCAACGAUACAUAGCCGACCUGUGAGGGUGAUCGGCCACACUGGGACUGAGACACGGCCCAGACUCCUACGGGAGGCAGCAGUAGGGAAUCUUCGGCAAUGGGGGGAACACUGACCGAGCAACGACGCGUGAGUGAAGAAGGUUUUCGGAUCGUAAAGCUCUGUUGUUAAGGAAGCGGUACUUAACCAGAAAGUGACGACUAACUACGUGCCAGCCGCCGCGGUAAUUC